rnacentral:lncRNA from 1 species
UCGACAUCGAAGGUGUCGGGGUUUUGUAGAUAUUUUAAAAGUAUGUUUAUUGUUUUGCUUAUUUAUUUAUUUAUUUUUUAAGGUUUCAAUUACUCCAGAGGUGACGUCAAAAAAGAUCAACAGACAAAUUAUUUCUCAGCUGAUUAAUUUAUAUCGGCUGACUAACUUGGGUGAACGAAUACCUGCCUAUGAUGGUAUGAAGAGCAUUUACACUGCAGGGCCGCUGCCUUUUGAAUCGAAGGAAUUCAUUAUCACGUUACCUGAUAGUGAUCCUCGUCCCAGCUCAUCUACCAGGCCGAGGUAUCUCUUGCUUUUAACACGUGUGUUUCUUGAAUAUGUUGAUUGUGAGUUUUCUUGAUUUAAUGUGUUGAGUGAUUUCUUAUGCAGAAGGGAGCGUCAGUUUAGGGUGGUUAUCAGAUUGGCGUCGAAGCCUGAUCUUUACACUCUACAGCAGUUCUUACUCCGUAGGCAUUUUGACGCACCGUACGAAGUUAUACAAGUGCUUGAUGUUGUUCUCAGAGCAGCUCCAUCAGAGAAGUAUUUAACCUUAACUGUGUUAAUAAAGUUUCACUUUUUGGUGUGUAUGAUAUAGGAUGUUCCCUGCCCAUGCCAGCAUUUGAUUGUUCAUGCAACUGAUUUAACAUUUGAUUUCUGAGUAACAAUUUUAUUAUUGUCUAUUUUGUGUCUUGAACAAUUUGGGUUUUAGAAUAGUUAAUUAAUGAAAUGAUGAACUUCUGCAUCAGGCAUACAGUUGUGGGGAGGUCAUUUUUCUCUACUGAUCUUGGACCAAUGGGUCAGCUUGGUGAUGGCGUUGAAUAUUGGCGUGGAUAUUUUCAGAGUCUUCGCCCAACCCAGAUGGGGCUAUCUCUUAAUAUUGGUAUUUCUCAUUAUAUUUUAUAUAAUUUGAUGCUGCUUAUCUUCUAUAUUAUGCAAGCUUGAUUUUGUUUUAGGUGCAGCACUGCUAUAUAAAUAUUUGCUCUUGCUGUUGCAGAUGUUUCAGCCUGUUCCUUUUAUGAACCAAUUCUAGUUACUGAGUUUGUUCAGAAGUAUUGCAGAGACUUAUCACAUCCUCUUUCUGAUGAAGUGCGUCUGCAGGUAUUGUCUAGUCUUCUUUGGUUAUGUCUUGGUUAUAAUUAAUUUAGUAUCAAUUUAAUGAGCUAUCUAUUAGGCGGUUAAAAGUUUUAAUUGAGGGCUGCAGCCCCCUAAUAUAUUUGUGAUAAGAGCAUUUUCAAAAAAUGAUCACAGAUUUGUUAGGCAAACAGUUCAGUAAUGUUUUGGACGUUGUGAAUAAUUUAUUGAUUCAAUAUUUACUUAGUUUAAUUUUUUUAGUUAACUAAUAAUAUAAAUGUUAGGAUUUAUAUACAUAUAUGCAGACACAUUGAUAGGGAAGAACCCAAAAAUUUUAUCUAGGAGAGGCUUAGUAUGAUACAAUUGCAAAAAAACUUUCAACAAAAAAUGAUAGGUGUCAAAUUAUUGAAUUUCAUUGAAUUACUGAUUUUCAACAUAAUUACGGUUUUUCUCGACUCAUUUGUAGUUUUAUAAAAUUACAUACUAUAAUAACUUCAUUGUCAACUUAAUUAAAAAUUUGAAGUUUGAACUAUAGAUUGUUGUUUGUUAUUUUCAAGUAAUAACUUAAAUUAAUAUAAAUAUUUGAGGCAAACAUAAAAAACUUAUCAUAUAUAGUAAGAAAUCUAGUUGAUCAAAUAAAUCCAACUCAACUAUUUAAAAAGUUAAAGCCGGUGACUUAAAAAAUAUGAUAUUUUUAAAAAAUUAAAGUUAUGAGAUAGACAAUUGUGUCAAUCAAUUAAGUCAUGACUUGAGCACCACUUUCAAGUCCAUAACACAUAACAAACUAAUAAAUGGACUAAAUAUAUAACAUAUUUAAAAGGAAAAUUUAUAAGUCUAGAAGGGGGUUUAAAUUAUUAAAUAGACCAAAUAAUCGUGAAUCGUACUUGGGCCUACUUUUCAUUUUACUGUUCAAGAGGGGCGGUAAAGCUAAGCCACCCUGCCCUUUUUAUUAUUUAUAUACGCGCCCUCUUUUCCUCCCUCCUUCUCCCUGACACUUACUUUAUCCUCAAGUAAUCGCUCUCCCGCUUUAUUUGUGUCACCAUCAUUUCACUUCGGUUCCCCAAAAUUUUCUCUCAUAUAUUUACCUUUCUGCUUUCGACAAUGUCUCGACGUGGUGGCGGUGGUCGUAGGCCGGAUUCUCGCCUUGACCAGCCGACUCAGGCACGGGCGCCGUCAUUCCAGCGGGGUGGCGGCGGAGCCGCUGGACCACGCGGCCGAGGUCGUCAAGGUCAACGUGGGGGUGCUGGUCGUGGAUCGCAUUCCGGCUCCGGUGCAGCCCCGUCCUCACCGCACACCGCUUCGACUUCGACGGAGCCGGCUCCUUCGUCUCCGUCUGUUUCUGCUUCUGCUCCUUCUUCGUCUUCAGUCUCUACUCUUGUCGAAGAAACGGAGCAGAAACUGAUAUUGGCGGCACCAGCGGCGGCUACACUGCGGCCUUCGUCGUCGCGGGCGAGUAGACUUCCCGAGAGGCCGGGAAUCGGAACUGUUGGCACAAAAUGUGUUGUCCGAGCAAAUCACUUUAUGGUACAACUUGCCGAGAGAGACAUUCAUCACUAUGAUGUAAGUCUACUUUUAAUUUUAACUUUGUUAUUUUUUAAAACGUUUUGACUCUUUUUGUUUUUUAUUUUCCGUUUUUCUGGUCAAUUUUGAUUUUAUUUAAGAUUCACCAUUCGUGAGCGUCGAAUUCGAAGAUAUCGGGGUUUUAUUGCUAUUUUAAAAACAUGUUUAUUGUUUUCCUUGUUUAUUUAUUUUUUAAGGUUUCAAUUGAUCAAGUCCAAGAUCUCGAAUCGAAUCGAUAUUCAGAGGUGACGUCAAAAAAAAUCAACAGACAAAUUAUUUCUCAGCUGAUUAAUUUAUAUGGGCUGACUAACUUGGGUGGACGAAUACCUGCCUAUGAUGGUAUGAAGAGCAUUUACACGGCAGGGCCGCUGCCUUUUGUAUCGAAGGAAUUCAUUAUCAAUUUACCUGAUAGUGAUCCUCGUCCCAGCUCGUCUACCAGCCCGGGGUAUCUCAUGCUUUUAACAUGUGUGUUUCUUGAAUAUUGUUGAUUGUGAGUUUUCUUGAUUUAAUGUGUCUGAGUAAUUUCUUAUGCAGAAGGGAGCAUCAGUUUAGGGUGGUUAUCAGAUUGGCAUCGAAGCCUGAUCUUUACACUCUACAGCAGUUCUUACGCCGAAGGCAUUUUGAAGCUCCGUACCAUGUUAUACAAGUGCUUGAUGUUGUUCUCAGAGCAGCUCCAUCAGAGAAGUAUUUAACCUUAACCGUGUUAAUAAAAGUUUCACUUUUUGGUUUGUUUGAUAUAGGAUGUUGCCUGCCCAUGCCGGCAUUUGCUUGUUCAUGCAACUGAUUUAGCAUUUUAUUUCUGAGGAAAAAUUUUAAUAUUGUCUAUUUUAUGUCUUGAACAAUUUAGGUUUUAGAUUGAUUAAUUAAUGAAAUGAUGAACUUCUGCAUCAGGCAUACAGUUCUGGGAAGGUCAUUUUUCUCAACUGAUCUUGGACCAAUGGGUCAGCUUGGUGAUGACGUUGAGUAUUGGCGUGGAUAUUUUCAGAGUCUUCGCCCAACCCAGAUGGGGCUAUCUCUUAAUAUUGGUAUUUCUCAUUAUAUUUUAUAUAAUUUGAUGCUGCUUCUCUUUUAUAUUAUGCAAACUUGAUUUUCUUUUUCGGUGCAACGUUGCUACAUAAAUAUUUGCUUUUGCUGUUGCAGAUGUUUCAGCCAGCUCCUUUUAUAAGCCAAUUCUAGUUACUGAGUUUGUUCAGUAUUAUUGCAGCGACUUAUCACGUCCUCUUUCUGAUCAAGUGCGUCUCAAGGUAUUGUCUAGUCUUCUUUCGUGAUGUCAUGGUUAUAAUUAAUUUAGUAUCAAUUUAAUGAGCUAUCUAUUGGGCGGUUAAAAGUUUUAAUUAAGGGCUGCAGCACUGUAAUAUAUUUGUGAUAAGAGCCUUUUCAAAGAAUGAUCACAGAUUUGUUAGGCAAACCGUUCAGUAAUGUUUUAGAUGCUGUGUAUAAUUUAUUGCAAGUAAUUAGUAGUUUAAAAUUUCAAAUUUCUUGCAAAUUUUGGAUAGGGUAAUUUCUUAAUUUGUGGCUGAACUGGUGGGUGGUGAGUAGUGUCUGUUGUUCUCGGCCAUUGAAAUCUAAAUAGAAUGAGCUCCCAAGUCUAGGGGGAAUAGAAUGUUGAUGACAGUGUUUGAUGAUUAAUGUAGGAAGUUGGUGUAUAAUUUGGCCUAUAAUUCUGAUGAUAAAGAAAUGAGAUCUUGAAAUGGCGGUUUUAAAAAUCUUCCACGCAUUCAUUUGCAAUUGUACAGUUAUCUUGAUCAACUUAUUAUCAUUCCGCUACGUAUAUUAGCAAUCUUUUGAACUAUCUGUAAACUUUUUACUUUCGAUCUAUUUUGGCCGCUAUUUGACAACUGCCCUUUAAUUAUUUUCAAAAUUAUUGCUGGGAAUUGGAUAGAGACACGUGCUCAAUGAUAUUAAUAUAAUUGUUUAAUUCUUGACUUCUAGGUGAAAAAGGCAUUGAAGGGAAUAAAGGUAGUGCUCAGGCAUAUGGGGUACAACUUAAGUUGCAAGAUCACUGGAAUAACCAGUCAACCGAUGAGCCAAGUAAUGUAUGUGUGUGUGUAAUUAACUGAUAUACAAGUGUAAGAACACUGUCCAACUUGUGGUGAUAGAGUGUGAUAACAUAACUUGGUGGUUUGGUUGUGUUUAUGUUGGUCGAUUUGUUUAUGUUAGCUGAUUCUUGAGUCCCCCACGCCAUUUGAGAAGCAUACUUUAUGUUGCCUGCUUUUGUCGUCAUCUGAAAUCCACAUAUGGUUAAAUUUGUCUUCUGUGUUGUAUUUUAUGUAUGAUUGAACUACUUGGUGGUAAAAAGUUUGGCGGAUGUGUCUCAAAUCAAUUUCUCAAAUCUGAUAUGUGAUAGUAGUUGGCUACUAUGUAGUGCGAUGGUCACUUGAUAUUGCGUGUAACAGUGAUGUAUCCCUCCUUCCAUGUUAUAGUAGGCAUUCACGUUAUAUCUUCCCUUUGAUUGUAUUUGCUAGGUUUACUUCUGACAAUGAGACAAGGUCGGUGGUUCAAUAUUUUCUUGAAAAACAUAAAAUUGCGCUUCAAUUCACGUCAUUGCCUGCCCUUGAAGCUGGAACUGAAGAGAGGCGCAUUUAUUUGCCAAUGGAGGUUCUAUGAUCAAAAGACUACUUUCAUUCUUUGUGUCUGGAAAAUAAUUUAUUUAAGACUUAUUUAUAGAAUAUUUUUGUUUCCAGCUUUCUAGGAUUGUCGAGGGACAGAGAUAUACUAAAAGAUUAAAUGAAAGACAAGUAACUGCUCUUUUAAGAGCAACUUGUCAGCGUCCUCGGGAUCGUGAAGCAAAUAUACAGACGGUAGAGCAUUGUUGUAAUUUCUUACAUCUGUGGUGGAUCUUUUUUGGAUGAUUAAUCUGGGAGCUAUCUUCUUGUGAACAAAGAGAGUUUCUGAUUCUUGCUUCUGGGUUUGACAUUCUUCUGCAGAUGGCUAGGAAAAAUGCUUACAAUGAAGAUACUCUUGUGAACAAGAAGUUUGGAAUUCAAGUGGCUGAUGGUCUUACAUCGUUUGAUGCUCGAAUCCUACCUGCUCCAAUAGUAAUUAUGUGUCAUUUUGUUUUAUUUGUAACAGGAUUGUGGUACUUCCAAUCUCCUUGUGCUUAACUUUACCUCCUGUAAUGCUGCAGCUUAAAUAUCAUGAAUCUGGCAGAGAAGCAAGCGUGAAUCCUGAUUUUGGGCAAUGGAACAUGAUUAACAAGGUGAAUUACUGAUUAUUAUUUUAUUCCGUAGUUGUUGAUUUGUGCUUAGGAAGAGCAUACGGAAGCGGUUACCACUUGUUUAAUCUGGUUGAGGGAUGUUUAUUGACUGAUGGGUAGGAUGGGUUGGAAGUUGAUUUGCUACAUUUGAUGCAAUGUGGAUGUGCUGCAUUUCUUUUGCAACCAUAAUUUUUUAUUUUUUUUUUCCGUUUUAGCAUGCUGUAAUUUCUAUUUAGUUAUAUACUUUUUCAUCUUUGACAAGCAUUGUAUCUGAUAUUCACUUAGGUAUUCGGAUUGUAUGUGCUUGGUGUUCAGCUCAAUCCACUUUGCCUUCUGAAUGGGAAGUAUUUUUUUGUUCACACUGAAUUAUUUUGUGUAAUUUUGGUUGUACAGAAAAUGUUCAAUGGUGGGACAGUGCAAGUUUGGACUUGUAUGAACUUCUCAACGUGUUUGAACCAGGAUGUGAUCGUGUUCUGUCAACGGUUGGUAGACAUGUGCAAUAGAAAGGGAAUGGUAUGGUAAUGUUAAUGGUAUGGUAAUGUUAUUUGUUUUGCAAUUCAUGUUAGCAAUUUAGGUUAAUGGUCUCUCUGAACCGACUUUUUUCUUUUGGGGGGUCCGUGUUUAUCAUGCCAGGUAUUUAACUGCCGGCCUGUCAUUCCCAUAAGUUCAUACAACCCAUAUCAAAUUGAGAAGGCACUUGUAGACGUUCACAAUAAGACUACACAGCCAGGGAAACAGCUUCAGCUGUUGAUAAUUAUUUUACCAGAUGUUAGCGGAUCAUAUGGUGAGUGAUAAAUUUAAUCAAGGAUUAAACUUUAAUGUCAGCUUUGGUUUUGUUCAACAUUAUCGGCUUUCUGCUCGCAGGAAGAAUUAAGCGAGUUUGUGAAACGGAACUUGGGAUUGUUUCACAAUGCUGUCAGCCUAAGCACGCAUCCAGUUGCAACAUGCAGUAUUUUGAAAAUGUGGCUCUUAAAAUCAAUGUGAAGGUUUGCUUUGCCCCCAUUUUUUUGCGUGUUCAUUAUCAUGGUUAAUAUUUGAGAACCAAUACAAGGGUUGGCAGGAAAACAUGUAGGAGAUGAUUUUUUUUUUUUUUUGGCAAUUUAAUUUCAGUCUUGAUUUGCUGGAAUUAUUGUAUUUUUUUUGUUCAAAUAAUCAAAUUCUGAUGUUCAAGAUAUUUUUAUAAGUGUUUGGGAGUGCCAAAAUUUCUUGUUAAAAUUGAUAGGUUUGCUUAUUGGUACUGGGGAUUCAGUUUGCUAUUUGUAAUUUUAUCAGGUUGGAGGACGAAACACUGUGCUCGAUGAUGCUGUUCAGAAAAGAAUUCCUCUUGUGACUGAUAAACCUACAAUUAUAUUUGGUGCAGAUGUCACCCAUCCACAACCAGGAGAAGACUCUAGCCCUUCAAUAGCGGCCGUAUGUGCACUGAUUUUCUGUUUCUGCUUUCUAGUAAUUCACUCUGUUAAAAGAUUGAAUUGACUGAGAUAGGUGGUGGCCUCAAUGGAUUGGCCAGAAAUAACCAAGUACAGAGGACUUGUCUCUGCUCAGGCACAUAAUCAGGAAAUUAUCCAAGAUCUCUAUAAAUCUAUUAAAGAUCCUCAGAGGGGUUCAGUUCAUGGAGGGAUGAUCCGGUUAGUAGACAUGGAAGUACAUAUCAGGUGCCUUAUUAUUAAGAGAACCUUAUGCUUCUGUUUGUCUUUUACAGGGAACUGUUAAUUGCCUUCAAAAUAUCAACCAACCGUAAACCUGAGAGUAUUAUUUUCUACCGGUAAUGGUUGUUUUCAAUGUUAAACUGCAUGUUUUGUAGAAUGUUACUGAUGUUGUUUCAUUUAUGUGCCAGAGAUGGUGUUAGUGAAGGGCAGUUCAGUCAGGUUUUACUCCAUGAAAUGAAUGCUAUCCGGGAGGUAAUGCUGAUGAGUCCUGAAGUUAAUACAAUUUUCUUGUGUUCUAGAGAUUUUCAAUAUCUAGUUUCAGUUAAUUUCUUGUUGAUGACUUUUGUUGCAACAUGCUAAAUUGACUUAUCUCCAGGCCUGUGCCUCACUUGAGGAGGGAUAUGCGCCACCAGUUACGUUUGUUGUGGUACAGAAAAGGCAUCAUACUCGCCUUUUUCCUGGUGAUCACAACAGACGCGAUCUGACAGAUAGGAGUGGAAAUAUUUUACCAGGUUCCAAGUUAUCUUUGUAUUAUUAAUCUUUAUUUUCUAUUUGCGUCUUUUGAGUAUGCAUAAUGGCUGGGAACCAUGUUGUUGCUUAACCUUGUCUUUGAUGAAUAUUUUUGGGAUGUCCCUGUGUUAGGAACUGUUGUUGAUACUCAUAUUUGUCACCCUACAGAAUUUGAUUUUUACCUCAACAGCCAUGCAGGAAUUCAGGUUAAAAAAAAAAAUUAAGUUUGCUAUUUCAAUCCAGGUUAAAAAAAUAAAACAAUGUCCCCCCCCCCCCCCCCUCUUGAAUUUUUAAAUGUGUUGGACUGAUUAAGGUGUUUAUUCCAGGGAACCAGUCGCCCAACUCACUACCAUGUAUUGUAUGAUGAGAACCAUUUUACUGCAGAUGACUUGCAAUUGUUAACAAAUAACUUGUGUUACACGUAAUAUGUUUACCUUCUCUAUAAUGGGAUUUAAUAUUGCAUUGUUGAAGAAUUUAUCUUUCGAGUGGUUAUUUUGUAAGUUUUUGACUCGUGGCCCAUUUUCAGGUAUGCAAGGUGUACUCGAUCAGUUUCAAUAGGUCUGACCCUUGUACUUCUAUUGUUUUACUAAAAAUAUUGCUAGCAUUGAUUGAUUUUUUUUUUCUUUUUAUUUUUUGUAUUGGCUGUUUUCAUAUGGCAGUGCCUCCUGCAUACUAUGCACAUUUAGCAGCUUUUCGGGCUCGUUUUUAUAUCGAGGAUGAAACAUCUGCGGGUGGAUCCACAGGAGGGACUAGGAGCACGGCGGAGGGGAGUUUGGCUAUCCGGCCUCUUCCCGUCAUCAAGGAUAAUGUGAAAGAUGUAAUGUUUUACUGCUGAAAGUAGUCUCCAGCAUCAAUCCUCUUUGUCAUGGUUUUCAUCAAGGCUUGACGUGUUUUGGUAUAUGGAGUACAGCGUGGUGCCGUUUUUGGACAGUACUGUUAUUUUGGGAGUAGUUUCAAAUUGGACAUCAAGGGUAGAAACUGAUUCUCCUUAUGUUAAAAAUGUUAGCUGCAUAUUGUCCUGGUUAAUGCUGGUUAAUGCCUUGUAAAUUUAAAUGCCAAAAAACUUCAUUUCUUGGUGGGGUUAUUUGAUCUCACUGCACGCUUUUUUAAAUUAACAUUUUUGGACAGUGCUGAUUAUCUCACUGCACUCUUUUUUCAAUUAACAUUUUUAUUCUGAAAACAUAAUUGGAUCAAUUAUAUAUUUGAUCUUAUUUUCUCUCUCGAUCUCUUUCCCUUAACCAAAAUUUAUUGUAAUAUGUGAAGUAAGUAUUGAAUUUUCUAAUUAUUCAAAAAGUAAUAAAUUCAGCUCAAUGGUAAUUAGAAACAAGAUGAAAGAGACAAUGUUAAUCAUUUAGAAAUAAAAAAUAAGAGUUUUUAGACUGUUCUAAAUUUGUUAGAAUUUUGAGAAAGAUGAAGUUGAUUUUGGAGAGAAUAAAAUUGAAAAGUAGUUUAAGCUUUGAUCAUUUCUACAGUAGACAGAAAAAUUAGAGCCAAUUUGGGAUUGCGAAGGCAUAUGAAAUAAGCAGCUUAUGUGUUGUGCAGGUGAAAUAAGUUGUUGAUAAAAAAAGUAGUUUAGUGUUUGGAAAACUGUAUUGUUGUGGUUGCUAAGAAUUUGAAUAGUACAGUACAUGUGUUUGGUAAAUUAUAUUACGAAAGUAUUGUUUUAUUAUAUAAUGAGCAAAAUAGAUACAAGUUUUAAUUACUUUUUAUUUUUAAAGUAUGUUUAAUAGAUUAUUUAUACAUAUCUUUUUUCUUAUUGUUUUAUAUAUAAUGACUAAGAUAGACAUAAAUUUUAAUUACUUUUUAUUUUUAAAGUAUAUUUAAUAAAUUAUUGAGACAUAUCUUUUUUUCUUAAAUGCAUAAAAUUACAUUAAAAAACUCAAUUAAAAAAAUCUAUAGAACUUCAUAAUUUAUUACAAAAAAAAUAUGAUAAAAAUAAAGUUAUGAUUCAUAUAUUAGGGUUUAUAGAUAAAUAAAAUAUAAUUGUCUUUUUAUUAAAUUCUAGGGUUAUAAUAGGAAAUUUAAAAAGGUAUGGUAACUUAUUAAAUAAGCUGUUUAUAAAAAGUAAUUUGUUACCUGCUUUUAAAAGUUGCUGACAAAAUGGAAAAAAUUAUGAAAUAAGUUGAUUUUAUAAAAUUUUACAAACAUUAUUUUUAUUAAAAAUUAUGAAAUAAGCAGUUUAUUAAAUUUCAACUACAAUUCUAAACUGACCCUUGGUUAAUCAAAUAUUUUUUGUGACUUUUGAGAAUUAGUGAAUUAAAAUAAUAAAUUAUCAUAAAAAAAUGAUUUUUAGAAGGAAAAUCAACGUUUGCCUCAAUUGUUUGAUGAGGCGAAUGAUGCAUGUAUACGGUUGGGUACAUGCAGUUGUUUUUAACUAAGAUGUAUAAAUAGAUGAACAAAUACUGCAAAAGCGAAAGUAUUUAAUUAAAAAAUGUCAUAAAAAUUUCUUCAAAGCCGGUGAUCGUACUACAAGUACAUUUAAGCAGUCAGCAAGAGUAUUGAACUGUGUAUGCUUCCUUUUUUCAUUUCAAUUACCCGUUAUUCUUCUUGUACGGUGGCUUCUGAAUUACUUUCUUUACUUUUUGAGAGCUCAAGCAAUUCCGUUGCUUCUUCCACUUUUGCAGCCAAUGACUCAAAGUGAAUCCAACAGCACGAUCAUCUCGGAGAGAUCCAUUUCCAAAAUCAUCUCAGUAAUCUUUGGUGAAAGAUCACACUGUCCAAAAGUUACUUACAUGUAAAUAUCAUUAAACCAAAGCUUAAAGCAGGUGAAAAUUGUGAGUACAUUCGCAGAAGGUUAAAACUUCAAUUUACUCCCUUAUUUUAAAAGACAACCUACUACUUACCUCAAAAAUAUAAAAACAUCAAUUGAUGUCUUUUAUUAUUAAAAAGACAAAAAAAAAUAUUAUCAACACACUUUUCGUUUGUCCUAAUCUUUUGAACGAAAAUGAAAAUAAACUGAAGAUUAUCAUUUUACCCGAAGAUGAAUCAAAAUUGACCCUUCACAAAAAAAUAUGAGCAAUCACCUUGAGUUUCUUCACCAGCGGGUAGAGUCUUCGGCCAAGAAUAUCUUUCCUUUCAUUAGGGGAAGCAGCAGCAAGCAUGCUGCUCAAAUUUUCAUUGUAAGCAGCAGCUCUUUAAUUCCCAUUUGUCAGCUCUUUGAUUCCCAUUGGAAAAUUUAGCAUUGCCCAUUCAUCCUUCCUCCUCUAUAUUGCCUUACAGAAUUAGGAGCCUGUAAUACAAAAUUUUUAAUCCCAAAGUUAAGCAGAAGCGCAACAAUUCCAAAUACAUCCUAAACUUGAUUUUACGUUACCAUUAGAAACAAAGGAGAAGGAGGAGGAGGAGAAAAUCCAUUAGGAAUCAUGCCACCAUGCCUGAACCCUGGUGCUUGGUACACUUGUAAUGCACGUUGAUAAAGGGUCGGAUGCAUAGGAAAAAUGGUGCUACCAAGUCCUGGCCCUUGCUUUGCAUACAUCAUUCGUAGGUACGAAGUUCUUUCUCGCUUUGUUUGAGCAAUGGCCACAUACAAUGGCUUUUGAUGAAACAAGAUGCCAUUCAGAGUAUUUAUGGCUCGAUUGGCUUCAUCAGGAUUAGAGAAACACACAAAUCCGAACCCUUUGCUAAUACCUCGAUUAGUUCUCAUGAUCUUAACAGAGCUGAUAAUGCCACACUGGCUAAAAUAUUGUUUCAAUUCAAUUUCGUCAACGUCAUCAUUUAUGUUCUUCACAUACAAAUUUUUAUCCUACAAUUGACAAACAUCUUGAUUUUAGCAGGAUUUAACAAACGAAAAUAACGAUAUUAAUUAAGAGAGCAAAUAACCAAAAAAAAAAAAAACACCUUGUAUAAUUCAGCACGCUCUUUGCGCAUUCUCUCAAAUUAAGCGCGUAAAAUCGCCUUUCGUUCAGCUUUCUUCUGUGCAUUGUGUCUUUGGCUCUUUUAACAUCAUCUGGAUUUUCAAAAUUCACAAAACCAAAACCCUUUGAUGUCCCGUUAGCAUCUUUUGAGAUAACCAAACUUAUUAAUAUUUUUCCAAACUCGAAGAAUUUCUCUACCAAAAUCUCCUCAGUCACAUCAUCAUCUAAAUUCUUGACGUACAGGUUGUUAAAAAAAGCACUUUCUUGAAUCCCCCCAGCCCUUCUGAUGAAUGGACCAACAUAGCUGCCAAUUAAUGCCAGUGAACAUUAUUAAUGCGACAAAUAGUAGAUAAAUUAGCAUAUAUACAAAGAUGACACAUACAACUGUGGCUGGAUCCAAUAACUAAUUGCACCAUUGUUUUGCCCCUUUUAUAGAAUGUAAAAUUAAAAUUUACUAUUAAAAUUGUCAAAAACCACCAACAAAGUGUUGGCUCCACUGGCAAUGGAGUCCCCUUAAGUGACUUGACUGGGUUUGCUCCCUAGUUCGAGUCGCAGGGAAGUCGCCUUUGUUGGGAGAACCUGUGCCUCCCGGUUCGAGCGGGGACUUCUAGUCUGGGUUGUGGUACGGGCUUAAAGGUGCCUCCCACAGUUGGGGCCCUCCCCAGGAUACCUCGUGAUUAAUAUCAAAAAAAUUGUCAAAAACCAUUACGUGUGGCAAUAUUCAAAUCCGAAUUUAAAUCUGCAUUGAAAUUUUGAGAUAUGGAUCCACAUUUUUUUUUUAUUGGAUCUGAUUAAAGGAAAUAUUCGUAAAGAUUGCAGGCAUAUAUUUUGCAUAUCUAGAUUCGCAUGAUUCAAAAUUCAUAUAUAAUUUAAAAUUUAACAAAUUUGCCUAAUAAAAUCCAAUUAUAAUUGAACGAUCAACAAUUCAACACCUAGAAUAACAUUCAACAAUAUUAAAUUCAUAAAUAAAAAUACCAUAAAAUAAAUCAAACAUCAAAAAUAACAUAAAUUUAAGUCUAACACCACUACAAAUCCAUAAAUACGAACACCACAAGUCCACUUAGAUUCAAUUUAAAACCAUCACAAAUAAAAACACCACAACAAAUCUACACAAGUUUGAUUUUUUUAAAUUUAACAUAUAUUUUUUAUUCAAUUUUAAUGUAAUAAAUAAUUUAAUUAAAAAAUAAUGUGGAUCCAAAUAUUCAAUUUUCUGGAUGCAUUUGCAUCCGAAUCCGUACAUAUUUAUUUUUUGGCAUCCUAAUCUAUACUUUUCAAUAUGUGGAUCCAAAUCUUUACAAAUCUGGGUCGGAUCUAGAUUUUUUUACGAUCCCUACAAACAAUUACCAUGUUUGAUAGGUUAAAAAAAUAUAGGCACACGUUAGACAAUAGUAUAAAGUUAAGAGUAUUGGACUAUUCUUUUUAAAAUUAAAUCAGUCUUUUGUUUGGUGCUGCAAAGAUAAGUGAGGAUUAUGUACCUUAAGACCACACCAUUUAAUCUUGGACACAUACUUUUAUAAAGUAGAAUGAAAAAUUUUCCCAUAGGGACCCUAGGGAUAAUGUGGGAUAAUUUUUUUCAUGCCUAAAAAUAAUUGUAGAAUAACUACACAAUGAAAUAUCUAUAUCUAUUAUUACAUUAUAUUACAUUGAUUAAAUAUGUAUUUACUUCAAUAUUCAUUUUACUUAAAUAAUAAUAAAAAUGUUAGAAUUUAUAUUUUGUGUGUUUGUGUGUGUGUUUGUAUGUAUAUACAUACAUAUACACACAUAAAUGAUCAAUUACACACAUUAUUGUACGCGACGAGCCAUGUGUCAUUUAAUGAUUAGUUGUGUCGCACAUCUAAUUAUGUGUGUGCAUUAUAAUAUUAAUAAUAAUAAAAUAAAAACAACUUAAAUUAAUAUUCAGGUUUUUAAUUUAAUAUUUCGAAUAUUCGUAUUAUUAAAUUUAUAUUUAUAAAUUUACUCUUAUAAAUAAAAUACUUUUAAAUAUUUAAUAAUUAAUAAAUCAAUAGUAAUAUACUUUAUUUUCUUAUAAACUGUUUUAGUAAAAUCCUACAUAGUAUACCAAACAUGAGAUAAUAUUAAAUAUAAAUCCAGCCCAAUCUUAUUUUAUCCUACUAAACCCAAUAUAUUAUUACCCAUAAUCCAUCUUAUAAAAAAAAAAGUAAUUUAAGUUCUCGUGCUGACCGGAGGGAAACCUGAAAGGCGGAAAGCCUAGCUAUAGGGGUGUUCAGAAUCUAUUCCAAUCCGCUCAACCCGUCUGAUCCGUAAAAAUUUGAUCCGUGGAUUGGUGAAUUGGAUUGGAUUGAAAAUUUGAUAAUCUGCAAUCGGUGGAUUGGAUAUGAAUCUACUUCUAUAAAUCCGCAAAAAUCCGCGAAUCCGUAAAAAAAUAAAGAGUAUUUAUUUAAUUAAAAAAACUUGUAAAUAUGACAUUAUUACUUACUAGUAAAUAAAUAAGUUAAAAUAUAGUUAUAUUAACACUAUAUUAUAUCUUAUCCGAUGAUAAUAAAAAAUAAAAAAUAAACAAAUAAAUAAAUAAAUAAAGCUUCUUAAAUAGUUAAUUUCCAUGUGCUGAUAUAAACUAAUGAGAUUUUUUUCGUUUUGGUGUGUUAUAUUUUGAAACUUUAAAUGUAUUUUCUACCUUUAUUUAAACAGUUAAUUUAUGUAAAUCUUAUUUGAUUUUAAAUUUCAUCUGUAGUAAAAUUAUUUUUAUAUUAAUUUUUUUUAUUUAGUUAGUUUGUGGAUUUGACAAAAUUUAAAAUUUUUAGUCCGCAAAAUAAUAGAUUAGAUAUGGAUUAGGUCAAAUCCGCAUCCGAUCCACAGAUAUAUGGAUUGGAUUUGAAUUAAAUUUCACCAAUCCGUGGAUUGAAUUAGAUUAAAAAUUUAUAAUCUACAAAAUCAUGAAUCGGAUAUAAAUUAAUGGCCAAUCCAUAAAAUUCGAUUUGCGAACACUCCUACCUAGCUGAAGCUCUUACCUCAAUUUCCAGUUGAAAAUUAAUAAUUAAUAAUCACUAAUAAAAAAUUAAAGAUGAACGCUCACUAAUUAAUAAGUAAUUUAAGUUCCUUUUUAUUAUUUAUAGGGAAAUUUACACUAGUCUACCUGUUUGUUUUGCCUUUUUUAAAAAUACACAAAUAUUUUUUUUUUCAGUGCGCCACCUGAAGUUUGCUUUUUGUUGCAUUUUUCCACUUCCGUCUAAUUUCCGUUAGUGGAUUUAACGGAAUGUUAACGAAAUGACCUUUUUACCCCUCAAAAUUACAAUUUAACCUAAAAUAAAUGGAAAUUUGAGAUAAAUUGGAUGUAUUUAAAUUUUUUCAAAGGUGGAUGCUAGAAAUUGGAGGAAAAUAGUGUUUGUUGCUUGCUAAAUUUAGAAAAUUUGUAUUUAUUUUCUAAAUUUAGCAAGCAACAAACAUUAUUUUCCUCCAAUUUCUAACAUCCACCUUUGAAAAAAUUUAAAUCCAUCCAAUUUAUCUCCAAUUUUUAUUUAUUUUGGGUUAAAUUAUAAUUUUGAAGGGUAAAAAGGUCAUUUUGUUAAAUUUACUAACGAAAAUUAGACGAAAGUGGAAGAAUGUAACAAAGAGUGAAUUUGAGGUGGCGCGCUGAAAAAAAAAAAAAAGUAUUUGUGUAUUUAAAAAAAAGAUAAAAUAAACAUGUGGACGGUUGUAAAUUUUCUUUAUUUAUAUACACUUCCCAUCUUCCUCUCUCCUUCUCUCUGUUUCUUCUUAAGUCGUCGCUCUCUCGCUUUAUUUGUGUGACCAUCACUUCAAUUCGGUUCCUCAAAAUUUCCUUUCAUUUUACCUUUCUGCUUUCGACAAUGUCUCGACGUGGUGGCGGUGGUCGUAGGCCGGAUUCUCGCCGUGACCAGCCGACUCAGGCACGGGCGCCGUCAUUCCAGCGGGGUGGCGGCGGAGCCGCUGGACCACGCGGCCGAGGUCGUCAAGGUCAACGAGGGGGUGCUGGUCGUGGAUCGCAUUCCGGCUCCGGUGCAGCCCCGUCCUCACCGCACACCGCUUCGACUUCGACGGAGCCGGCUCCUUCGUCUCCGUCUGUUUCUGCUUCUGCUCCUUCUUCGUCUUCAGUCUCUACUCUUGUCGAAGAAACGGAGCAGAAACUGACAUUGGCGGCACCAGCGGCGGCUACACUUCCGCCUUCGUCGUCGCGGGCGGUGAGACUUCCAGUGAGGCCGGGAUUCGGAACCCGUGGCAGAAAAUGUGUUGUCCGAGCAAAUCACUUUAUGGUGCAACUUGCCAAGAGAGACAUUCAUCACUAUGAUGUAAGUCUACUUUUAAUUUUAACUUCGUUAUUUUUGAAAACGUUUUGACUCUUUUUAUUUUUUAUUUUCCAUUUUUCUCGUCAAUUAAGGUUUCAAUUGACCCAGAGGUGACGUCACAAAAGAUCAACAGACAAAUUAUUUCUCAGCUGAUUAAUUUAUAUCGGCUGACUAACUUGGGUGAACGAAUACCUGCCUAUGAUGGUAUGAAGAGCAUUUACACUGCAGGGCCGCUGCCUUUUGAAUCGAAGGAAUUCAUUAUCACGUUACCUGAUAGUGAUCCUCGUCCCAGCUCAUCUGCCAGCCCGGGGUAUCUCAUGCUUUUAACACGUGUGUUUCUUGAAUAUUGUUGAUUGUGAGUUUUCUUGAUUUAAUGUGUCGAGUGAUUUCUUAUGCAGAACGGAGCGUCAGUUUAGGGUGGUUAUCAGAUUGGCGUCGCAGCCUUAUGUUUACACUCUACAGAAGUUCAUACAAGUGCUUGAUGUUGUUCUCAGAGCAGCUCCAUCAGAGAAGUAUUUAACCUUAACUGUGUUAAUAAAAGUUUCACUUUUUGGUAUGUAUGAUAUAGGAUGUUCCGUGCCCAUGCCAGCAUUUGCUUGUUCAUGCAACUGAUUGAGCAUUUGAUUUCUGAGGAACAAUUUUAUUAUUGUCUAUUUUGUGCCUUGAACAAUUUAGGUUUUAGAAUGGUUAAUUAAUGAAAUGAUGAACUUCUGCAUCAGGCAUACAGUUGUGGGAAGGUCAUUUUUCUCAACUGAUCUUGGACCAAUGGGUCAGCUUGGUGAUGGCAUUGAAUAUUGGCGUGGAUAUUUUCAGAGUCUUCGCCCAACCCAAUUUGGGCUAUCUCUUAAUAUUGGUUUUUCUCAUUAUAUUUUAUAUAAUUUGAUGCUGCUUAUCUUUAUAUUAUCCAAGCUUGAUUUUUUCUUUUUUAGGUGCAGCACUGCUACAUAAAUAUUUGCUUUUGCUGUUGCAGAUGUUUCAGCCAGCUCCUUUUAUAAGCCAAUUCUAGUUACUGAGUUUGUUCAGUAUUAUUGCAGCGACUUAUCACGUCCUCUUUCUGAUCAAGUGCGUCUCAAGGUAUUGUCUAGUCUUCUUUCGUGAUGUCAUGGUUAUAAUUAAUUUAGUAUCAAUUUAAUGAGCUAUCUAUUGGGCGGUUAAAAGUUUUAAUUGAGGGCUGCAGCACUGUAAUAUAUUUGUGAUAAGAGCCUUUUCAAAGAAUGAUCACAGAUUUGUUAGGCAAACCGUUCAGUAAUGUUUUAGAUGCUGUGUAUAAUUUAUUGCAAGUAAUUAGUAGUUUAAAAUUUCAAAUUUCUUGCAAAUUUUGGAUAGGGUAAUUUCUUAAUUUGUGGCUGAACUGGUGGGUAGUGAGUAGUGUCUGUUGUUCUUGGCCAUUGAAAUCUAAAUAGAAUGAGCUCCCAAGUCUGAGGGGAAUAGAAUGUUGAUGACAGGGUUUGAUGAUCAAUGUAGGAAGUUGGUGUAUAAUUUGGCCUACAAUUCUGAUGAUAAAGAAAUGAGAUCUUGAAAUGGCGGUUUUAAAAAUCUUCCACGCAUUCAUUUGCAAUUGUACAGUUAUCUUGAUCAACUUAUUAUCAUUCCGUUACGUAUAUUAGCAAUCUUUUGAACUAUCUGUAAAAUUUUUACUUUCGAUCUAUUUUGGCCGCUAUUUGACAACCGCCCUUUAAUUAUUUUCAAAAUUAUUGCUGGGAAUGGGAUAGAGACAUGUGCUCAAUGAUAUUAAUAUAAUUGUUUAAUUCUUGACUUCUAGGUGAAAAAGGCAUUGAAGGGAAUAAAGGUAGUGCUCAGGCAUAUGGGGUACAACUUAAGUUGCAAGAUCACUGGAAUAACCAGUCAACCGAUGAGCCAAGUAAUGUAUGUGUGUGUGUAAUUAACUGAUAUACAAGUGUAAGAACACUGUCCAACUUGUGGUGAUAGAGUGUGAUAACAUAACUUGGUGGUUUGGUUGUGUUUAUGUUGGUAGAUUUGUUUAUGUUAGCUGAUUCUUGAGUCCCCCACGCCAUUUGAGAAGCAUACUUUAUGUUACCUGCUUUUGUCGUCAUCUGAAAUCCACAUAUGGUUAAAUUUGUCUUUUGUGUUGUAUUUUAUGUAUGAUUGAACUACUUGGUGGUAAAAAGUUUGGCGGAUGUGUCUCAAAUCAAUUUCUCAAAUCUGAUAUGUGAUAGUAGUUGGCUACUAUGUAGUGCGAUGGUCACUUGAUAUUGCCUGUAACAGUGAUGUAUCCCUCCUUCCAUGUUAUAGUAGGCAUUCACAUUAUAUCUUCCCUUUGAUUGUAUUUGCUAGGUUUACUUGUGACAAUGAGACAAGGUCGGUGGUUCAAUAUUUUCUUGAAAAACAUAAAAUUGCGCUUCAAUUCACGUCAUUGCCUGCCCUUGAAGCUGGAACUGAAGAGAGGCGCAUUUAUUUGCCAAUGGAGGUUCUAUGAUCAAAAGACUACUUUCGUUCUUUGUGUCUGGAAAAUAAUUUAUUUAAGACUUAUUUAUAGAAUAUUUUUGUUUACAGCUUUCUAGGAUACUCGAGGGACAGAGAUAUACUAAAAGAUUAAAUGAAAGACAAGUAACUGCUCUUUUAAGAGCAACCUGUCAGCGUCCUCAGGAUCGUGAAGCAAAUAUACACAUGGUAGAGCAUUGUUGUAAUUUCUUACAUCUGUGGUGGAUCUUUUUUGGAUGAUUAAUCUGGGAGCUAUCUUCUUGUGAACAAAGAGAGUUUCUGAUUCUUGCUUCUGGGUUUGACAUUCUUCUGCAGAUGGCUAGGGAAAAUGCUUACAAUGAAGAUACUCUUGUGAACAGAGAGUUUGGAAUUCAAGUGGUUGAUGGUCUUACAUCGGUUAAUGCUCGAAUCCUACCUGCUCCAAUGGUAAUUAUGUGUCAUUUUGUUUUAUUUGUAACAGGAUUAUGGUACUUCCAAUCUCCUUAUGCUUAACUUUACCUCCUGUAAUGCUGCAGCUUAAAUAUCAUGAAACUGGCCCAGAAGCAAGCGUGAAUCCUGAUUUUGGGCAAUGGAACAUGAUUAACAAGGUGAAUUACUGAUUAUUAUUUUAUUCUGUAGCUGUUGAUUUGUGCUUAGAAAGAGCAUAGGGAAGCAGUUUCCACUUGUUUAAAUUGGUUGAGGGAUGUUUAUUGACUGAUGGGUAGGAUGGGUUGGAAGUUGAUUUGCUACAUUUGAUGCAAUGUGGAUGUGCUGCAUUUCCUUUGCAACCAUUAUUUUUUUAUUUUUUUUUUCAUUUUAGCAUGCUGUAAUUUCUAUUUAGUUAUAUACUUUUUCAUCUUUGACAAGCAUUGUAUCUGAUAUUCACUUAGGUAUUUGGAUUGUAUGUGCUUGGUGUUCAGCUCAAUCCACUUUGCCUUCUGAAGGAGAAGCUUUUAUUUGUUUACACUGAAUUAUUUUGUGUAAUUUUGGUUGUACAGAAAAUGUUCAAUGGUGGGACAGUGCAAGUUUGGACUUGUAUGAACUUCUCAACGUGUUUGAACCAGGAUGUGAUCGGGUUCUGUCAACGGUUGGUAGAUAUGUGCAAUAGAAAGGGAAUGGUAUGGUAAUGUUAAUGGUAUGGUAAUGUUAUUUGUUUUGCAAUUCAUGUUAGCAAUUUAGGUUAAUGGUCUCUCUGAACCGACUUUUUUCUUUUGGGGGGUCUGUGUUUAUCAUGCCAGGUAUUUAACCGGCGGCCUGUCAUUCCCAUAAGUUCAUACAACCCAUAUCAAAUUGAGAAGGCACUUGUAGACGUUCACAAUAAGACUACACAGCCAGGGAAACAGCUUGAGCUGUUGAUAAUUAUUUUACCAGAUGUUCGCGGAUCAUAUGGUGAGUGAUAAAUUUAAUCAAGGAUUAAACUUUAAUGUCAGCUUUGGUUUUGUUCAACAUUAUCGGCUUUCUGCUCGCAGGAAGAAUUAAGCGAGUUUGUGAAACGGAACUUGGGAUUGUUUCACAAUGCUGUCAGCCUAAGCACGCAUCCAGUCGCAACAUGCAGUAUUUUGAAAAUGUGGCUCUUAAAAUCAAUGUGAAGGUUUGCUUUGCCCCCAUUUUUUUGCGUGUUCAUUAUCAUGGUUAAUAUUUGAGAACCAAUACAAGGGUUGGCAGGAAAACAUGUAGGAGACGAAUUUUUUUUUUUUUUUUGGCAAUUUAAUUUCAGUCUUGAUUUGCUGUAAUUAUUGUAAUUUUUUUUUUCAAAUAAUCAAAUUCUGAUGUUCAAGAUAUUUUUAUAAGUGUUUGGGAGUGCCAAAAUUUCUUGUUAAAAUUGAUAGGUUUGCUUAUUGGUACUGGAGAUUCAGUUUGCUAUUUGUAAUUUUAUCAGGUUGGAGGACGAAACACUGUGCUCGAUGAUGCUGUUCAGAAAAGAAUUCCUCUUGUGACUGAUAGACCUACAAUUAUAUUUGGUGCAGAUGUCACCCAUCCACAACCAGGAGAAGACUCUAGCCCUUCAAUAGUGGCCGUAUGUGCACUCAUUUUCUGUUUCUGCUUUCUAGUAAUUCACUCUGUUGAAAGAUUGAAUUGACUGAGACAGGUGGUGGCCUCAAUGGAUUGGCCAGAAGUAACCAAGUACAGAGGACUUGUCUCUGCUCAGGCACAUAAUGAGGAAAUUAUCCAAGAUCUCUAUAAAUCUAUUCAAGAUCCUCAGAGGGGUUUAGUUCAUGGAGGGAUGAUCAGGUUAGUAGGCAUGGAAGUACAUAUCAGGUGCCUUAUUAUUAAGAGAACCUUAUGCUUCUGUUUGUCUUUUACAGGGAACUGUUAAUUGCCUUCAAAAUAUCAACCAACCGUAAACCUGAGAGUAUUAUUUUCUACCGGUAAUGGCUGUUUUCAAUGUUAAACUGCAUGUUUUGUAGAAUGUUACUGAUGUUGUUUCAUUUAUGUGCCAGAGAUGGUGUUAGUGAAGGGCAGUUCAGUCAGGUUUUGCUCCAUGAAAUGAAUGCUAUCCGACUGGUAAUGCUGAUGAGUCCUGAAGUUAAUACAAUUUUCUUGUGUUCUAGAGAUUUUCAAUACCUAGUUUCAGUUAAUUUCUUGUUGAUGACUUUUGUUGCAACAUGCUAAAUUGACUUAUUUGCAGGCCUGUGCCUCACUUGAGGAGGGAUAUGCGCCACCAGUUACGUUUGUUGUGGUACAGAAAAGGCAUCAUACUCGCCUUUUUCCUGCUGAGCACAACAGACGUGAUCUGACGGAUAGGAGUGGAAAUAUUUUACCAGGUUCCAAGUUUGCUUUGUAUUAUUAAUCUUUAUUUUCUAUUUGCUUCUUUUGAGUAUUCACAAUGGGUGGGAACCAUGUUGUUGCUUCACCUUGUCUUUGAUGAAUACUUUUGGGAUGUUCUUGUGUUAGGAACUGUUGUCGAUACUCAAAUUUGUCACCCUACAGAAUUUGAUUUUUACCUCAACAGCCAUGCAGGAAUUCAGGUAAAAAAAAAAAGAAAAUAAGUUUGCUCUUUCAAUCCAAAUUUUAUUCAUCCAGACUUGUUAAACAAUGUCCCCCCCCCCCCCCCCAAAUUUUUUAAUUUGUUGGACUGAUUAAGGUGUUUGUUCCAGGGAACCAGUCGCCCAACUCACUACCAUGUAUUGUUUGAUGAGAACCGUUUUUCCGCAGAUGGCUUGCAAGUGUUAACAAAUAACUUGUGUUACACGUAAUUUGUUUACCUUCUCUAUAACCGGAUUUAAUAUUGCAUUGUUGAAGAAUUUAUCUUUCGAAUGGUUAUUUUGUAAGUUUUUGACUCAUGGCCCAUUUUCAGGUAUGCAAGGUGUACUCGAUCAGUUUCAAUAGGUCUGACGCUGUGUACUUCUAUUGUUUUACUAAAAAUAUUUUGAGUCAAUGAAUUAUUAUUAUUCUGGCUAGCAUUGAUUGGUUUUUUUUUUCUUUUUAUUUUUUGUAUUGGCUGUUUUCAUAUGGCAGUGCCUCCUGCAUAUUAUGCACAUUUAGCAGCUUUUCGGGCUCGUUUUUAUAUCGAAGACGAAACAUCUGCGGGUGGAUCCACAGGAGGGACUAGGAGCACGGCGGAGGGGAGUUUGGCUAUCCGGCCUCUUCCCGCCAUCAAGGAUAAUGUGAAAGAUGUAAUGUUUUACUGCUGAAAGUAGUCUCCAGCAUCAAUCCUCUUUGGUAUAUGGAGUACCAGCGUGGUGCCCUUUUUGGACAGUACUGUUAUUUUGGGAGUAGUUUCAGAUUGGACAUCAAGGGUAGAAACUGAUUCUCCUUAUUUUAAAAUGUUAGCUGCAUAUUGACCUGGUUAAUGCCUUGUAAAUUUAAAUGCCAAAAAACUUCAUUUCUUAUUUUAAAAAUGUUUCUGAUUCUCCUUAUUUUAAAAAUGUUAGCUGCAUAUUGUCCUGGUUAUUUGAUCUCACUGCACUCUUUUUUAAAUUAACAUUUUUAUUCUGAAAACAUAAUUGGAUCAAUUAUAUAUUUGAUCUUAUUUUCUCUCUCGACAAAAUGGAGAAAAAUAUUAAAUAAGUUGUUUUUACAAAAUUUAACAAACACUAUUUUUAUUAAAAAUUAUGAAAUAAGCAAGUUAUUGAAUUUCAAUUGUAAUCUUAAAUUGACUCUUAGUUAAUCAAAUAUUUUUUGUGACUUUUGAAAAUUAGUGAAUUAAAAUAAUAAACUAUAAUUAAAAAAUGGUUGUAAGAAGGAAAAUUAAAGUUUGCCUCAAUUGUUUGAUUAGGCGAAUGAUGCAUGUAUACGGUUGGGUACAUGUAGUUGUUUUUAACUAAGAUGUAUAAAUAGAUGAACAAAUACUGCAAAAGCGAAAGUAUUGAAUUAAAAAAUGUCAUAAAAAUUUCUUCAAAGUAUUAAACUGUGUAUGCUUUUUUCUUUUUUUUUUUUUUACUUUCAAUUACUCGUUAUUCUUCUUGUACUGUGGCUUCCGAAUUACUUUCUUUACUUUUCGAGAGCUCAAGCAAUUCCGUUGCCUCUUCCACUUUUGCAGCCAAUGACUCAAAGUGAAUCCAACAGCACGAGCAGCUCGGAGUGAUCCAUUUCCAAAAGCAUCUCAGUAAUCUUUGGUGAAAGACCACAUUGUCCAAAAGUUACUUACAUGUAAAUAUCAUUAAACCAAAGCUUAAAGCAGGUGAAAAUUAUUAGUACAUUCGCAGAAGGUUAAAACUUCAAUUUACUCCCUUAUUUUGAAUAACAAUCUACUAUUUACCUCAAAAAUAUAAAAACAUAAAUUUAUCUCUUUUAUCAUUAAAAAGACAAAAAAAAAAUAUUAUUAUCAACACCCUUUUCGUUUGUCCUAAUCUUUUGAACGAAAAUGAAAGUAAACUGAAGAUUAUCAUUUUACCCGAAGAUGAAUCAAAAUUGACCCUUAACAAAAAAUAUGAGUAAUCACCUUGAGUUUCUUCACCAGCGGGUAGAGUCUUUGGCCAAGAAUAUCUUUCCUUUCACUAGGGAAAGCAGCAGCAAGCAUGCUGCUCAAAUUUUCAUUGUAAGCAGCAGCUCUUUAAUUCCCAUUUGUCAGCUCUUUGAUUCCCAUUGGAAAAUUUAGCAUUGCCCAUUCAUCCUUCCUCCUCUAUAUUGCCUUACAGAAUUAGGAGCCUGUAAUACAAAAUUUUUAAUCCCAAAGUUAAGCAGAAGCGCAACAAUUCCAAAUACAUCCUAAACUUGAUUUUACGUUACCAUUAGAAACAAAGGAGAAGGAGGAGGAGGAGAAAAUCCAUUAGGAAUCAUGCCACCAUGCCUGAACCCUGGUGCUUGGUACACUUGUAAUGCACGUUGAUAAAGGGUCGGAUGCAUAGGAAAAAUGGUGCUACCAAGUCCUGGCCCUUGCUUUGCAUACAUCAUUUGUAGGUACGAAGUUCUUUCUCGCUUUGUUUAAGCAAUGGCCACAUACAAUGGCUUUUGAUGAAACUAAGAUGCCAUUCAGAGUAUUUAUGGCCAAUACUAAGAUGCCAUUCAGAGUAUUUAUGGCUCGAUUGGCUUCAUCAGGAUUAGAGAAACACACAAAUCCGAACCCUUUGCUAAUACCUCGAUUAGUUCUCAUGAUCUUAACAGAGCUGAUAAUGCCACACUGGCUAAAAUAUUGUUUCAAUUCAAUUUCGUCAACGUUAUCAUUUAUGUUCUUCACAUACAAAUUUUUAUCCUACAAUUGACAAACAUCUCGAUUUUAGCAGGAUUUAACGAACGAAAAGAACGAUAUUAAUUGAGAGAGCAAAUAACGAAAAAAAAAAAAAAACCUUGUAUAAUUCGGCACGCUCUCUUUGCAUUCUCUCAAAUUAAGCGCGUAAAAUCGCCUUUCGUACCGUUAGCAUCUUUUGAGAUAACCAAACUUAUUUAAUAUUUUUCCAAACUCGAAGAAUUUCGUACAGGUUGUUAAAUGAAGCACUUUCUUGAAUCCUGCCAGCCCUUCUGAUGAAUGGACCAACAUAGCUGCCAAUUAAUGCCGGUGAACAUUAUUAAUGUGACAAAUAAUAAAUAAAUUAGCAUACAUACAAAGAUGGCACAUACAGCUCCAUUCCUUCAACGGUAGCAGCAUAAAGCUUCUCAAUAGCAUUGAGUGCAGAUUCUGGCGUUGAGUGUUGGACAAAGCCAUAGCCUUUGCUUUUCCCAUCUUGAGACACAACAACCUUGGAGGACUGAAUGUCUCCGAAUUUGGAAAAUAUUUGAUGGAGCUUCCAAUUGUCUAUUGUACUAGCCAAGUUCUGCCAAGUGUGUGUAUAUAUAUAUAUAUAUAUAUAUAUAGGAAACAGCAGACAAAAUGAUGAUCAACUAACUAAGGUAGCGUUUACUUUUUGGAUUGGAUUGGGAAUCUUGGGGAGUGGGAAUCCUAGGAUUGGGAGUGUGGAGUGGGAGUGGGAGUAGGUUGUUUACUUACACUUGAAUGGAAGCAUGGAAUGGAGAUCAGAAUCCAAUUUAUGUGUUUACUUUGUCUUGGAUUGGGAGUAAAUAGUUUCAAAUUACAAUUUUAUCCUUAUUUAACGAAUUAUAAUUUUUAAUUACAAAACUAAUAAAAAAUAUAUUUAAUGAAUAAUAUUUAUUUUAUUAUAUUUGUAAAUUUAUUAUAAUUAUUAAUAUUCUUAAUUAUGAACAAUAAAUUAUUAAUUGUAAUUUUAAUAUAAAAUGAAAUGUUAUUUUAUUUUAUUUUAUAUAAUUAUAUUAAAUUUAUUAUUAUAUAAAAUAAUAAUAUAAUAUUAUUUAGUACAAAAUUAAUAUUUUCUUAUAAUAAAGUAUUUAUUAUUAUUAUUAUUAAAUAAAUAUAGUACUAUUAUUUUUAAAAUAAAUAUAAUAAUAUUAUAUUUAUUAAUUCUCUAUUAAUAUAAUAUUAUUAUUUUAAAAUAAUUUUAACUUAGAAUCAAUGUAAAUUAUUAUUUAGUUAAAUAUAAUAUUAUUAUUUAAAUAAAUAUAAUAUUAUUAUUUAAAUAAAUAUAAUAUUAUUUAUUUUAUUUUAUUAAUUAUAAAACAUAAAAUAAAAAAAAAGGGUAGAAAUGGGAGAGGUGGGAGUGGAUUCCUACUCCCACCUCCCCCAAUGGGAGUCCCACUCCCACUCCCCACUCCAAAAAUGGGUGGGGCCCACGGAGUGGGACUCCCAAUCCCUCCCCAUUUUAAGUAAGUAAAUGCUGGAGUGGGAGGAAUCCACACUCCUCACUCCCACUCCAGCAAGUAAACACAACAUAAAUGUUUUCAUAUCCCAUGAAAAUUUUUUGUAAUUAAUUACCUUAACGAACACUUUGCCAACUCAAUCUGGCUUCAGAAUUGGGUGUCGACUACAUUACUCUAAUUGCUUUACCAUUCAGUAUUGUAUAAUUCAAUGCCUCUAUAGCCUUUGUUGCUGAUAAAAAAAUAAUAAAAGUUAAAGACGUUCAUUAGGAAUAUAUUUCAAUUGUUAUGAAAGUAACCCAGCAAAUCGUUUCGAAUUUAAUUAGGAGAACAAUGUCGCGUAUCGCUUUUUUUUUUAUAUUAUUACAUGAGACCAUUGUUCAAGAGUACAAUUCAUAGUACAUUAGAUUACAAUUUAUAUUUACAAAUCAAAUUAUUAUUGGGACUAGUUCACAUCAAUUCUUAUGAACCACUGCCCAAAAUUUUACUCUCUAUAACAUUCGAAGGACGUUUACUCCACGCACAUUUCGAAAAGAAGAAUACUGUGUUCACUCAAUUAAAGAAGGAAAUUAAAUUCUCACAAUACAUUGUGGGAGCUUAAACCCAUGACUUCACAAUUGUAAGGUUUGGAUUCUAACCACUAGGCUAAAGCCUAGUGGCUCGCCCCAUGUAAGGGUUUUGAUUAACGCUCUUGACCAAGUCCCAAACUUGUAGCCCUAACUCUAAUUAACAUUUCCUGAAACCAUAGGGUUUAGUCAAGUUGUUUUCAAGUAAUUUUAUUUAACUGACUAAUCAUUGCUCUAGUUCAAAUUCUGGGAAAGACAGAUGGUUAAAGAAUAGAUUGGUGUACGUUCUGUUUCCCGUAUUAUGGAAUUAUCUGCAAUAAUUCACUUUAUACAACAAAGAGUUGUACACAUAUAACUAGAAGUACAUAUUUGAUUCAAUUAAUUUUACGUAGGUAAUUAAAAUAGUUUUAGGAAAAUAUGUAUAUAUAAAUUAUGAACAUGCAUGCACGUACCACAGUGAAAGGAAUGAAAGUUGGCGUAGCCAUAGCGGAGUGAACGUCGAUGGAAGCUAUCAACGCAGAGCAUAGCCGAAGCAAGUCCUUCGAGUUUUGAGAACGAGAAGGUCUGAAUGAGCUGUUGUUCUGUUACUGUGGAGUCGAGGUCUCCAACGUAGAGCGAGAACAGUGUCCCCAGAAUUGCAGAGUCAUUAUUAUUAUGAGCACGAAGAGAAACUUCCAUGUUUAAGGAAUGAAUCAAUAUCAGAGAUGACACAAGAUUAAUUGCUUGAGUUCAUCAGAGCAACAAACUAUGUGUAUAGUUAAUUAUUUAUUAAGAACAUAAUUAAGAAGUUGUGAUAACGUGUAAUUCCUUUCCUCUUUAGGAAUUAGCUUUCUUAUUGAAUUCUGAUUUUAUUAUAGAAGAAACGACUAUAAGGGGGUGCCAAGCUUAAGCCCGCGCAUUGGCGGAAUGCAGAAGCUACACUAUCUCUCUCUAUAUAUAGUAGAACCUCUAAAUAGACAUACUCUAUAUAGGAAUAAUCUCUUCAUGGUAAUAAAAAAUUGUGAUCACAACUUAAAACCAGUUAUAAUUAAGAAUAAACUCUAUAUUGUAAUAAGUUAUAUUUUUUAUAGAUCCCGUCUUAAAUAAACUUACCUUCACAUAGUAAUAACAUUUUAAAAAUAUAUGUCAUGUUACGUUAAAUAAUUAAGAGAGAACAAAAAUAUAUGCUAUGUUACGUUAAAUAAUUAAGAUAGAACAAAUAUAUUUUUAAAGUUGCAACCACAUCUUUCAACUUGCAGGUAUGUAUUAAUUGGUCAGCAUAGACAUUUUCUUGUUAAAACCAAAAUAUUUCUAACUUCUCAAAUAAAUUAAACUGUCUUUAGUAAUAAAUUACAUUAGAAACAUUUUAGUGACAUAAAAUUUUAUUAAAAUGUAAAUAAUCCACUUGCUACGAAUCUUUUUAUGUUUGACUCGAAAAGUUUCGGUAACUUUCUUGUCAAAAAUAAAAAAUAACAACUCGUUUAUGUUAUUCGAUUCCCUUUCAAAUGCAAACAAAAAGACAAAUUCUUGACCAAAGUCAAUUAAGUUGGUAGCUUGGUUAUUUGAAUAGGAGUCUUGACAUGCUUCGUUAUUAAGAAUUGUCAUCAUUCUUCUUUCCAAAAAGGAAAUAAGGAAAAAAAAUAAUAGUAGAGCGAAGAAACAAAGAAAACUAUGAUUCGAAGUCAAAAGAAUUCAAUUUUUGAUGAUCAGUAUUCGUUUAAUCUUUAUAUUUUAAAAUAUAUCUUAAAAUAUUUUUGUUGUUAAUUAUGUUACACUUUUUAGUAUUGCAUUUUAUUUGUUUUGACAGUAAAACAUUAAUAAAAAUAAAUAUUAAUUUAUCGAAUUAAAUGUAAAGGUAAAAUAAUGAUAAUACUACUAUUAUUAUUUAUUUUAUUUGUAAACUAUUAUUAUUUUUACUUUUGUGGUUAAUUAGAUAAAUAACAUAUUUAAAUCUUAUUAUUGUAUUGUUACAAUAAUAUAUUAUAUUAUGAUAAUUUAAUAUAUUUAAAUUAAUAAAUAAUAAUAAUAUUUUUUUUUUGCAAAUUAUUAUUACUUUUUUAUGGUUGAUUCAAUAAAUUAAUAUAUUUAUUUUCUUUAAUGUAUUAUUACAAGAGUAUUAUUAUUGUAGAAACAAAUAAAAUGUAAGAGUAAAGGGUGUAACAUAAUUAACAACAAAAAUAAUAAAUUAAUAUUUUUAUAUUAAUAUCUCCAAGAUUGUUACAAGGUAUUAUUGUCAAAGCAAAACAAAAGUAAGGACAAUAAUAAAACAUAUUAUAAUAUCUAACUAUAGUAACUGAACAUAUACUUAACCUAAAAUGUAAUAUCUAAAUGAACACUUUACCUACUUGAUUAACAUAAUCAUAUAUACAUAAUUUAUAGUCAUGUAAUGUGCCCUUGAUAAAAACUUAUGAUAUAAUAAUAAUAAUAAUAAUAAUAAUAAUAAUAAUAAUAAUAAUCUUACACCAUCUAUCAGUUAAUGACAAGUCACGUGUCGUAUUAUUUAAGAUCCAUUACGUUUUUUUAAUUAUGUAUUGAUAGUAUUAUUAACAAAACAAUUAUUAUUAUUUUUUCCUUCCCCUAGCUUCCACUAUUUUAUCUAUUUAUUUUUAUUUUUAUUUAUUUUUAUUUGGAAUGAAGCUUCCACCUUAAACAAACGAAGAAAGUGCUGACCAGCUGGUAAGAUUCCUAAAAAGUGUAAGCAAGACGACGCACUUUCGAUUGUUGAAAUGAAUCAGAAGAGCUAAAGCCGUUUCUUUAUGCGUUCCUUAAUGUUGUAGAUGUAGUUCUCUUUUUUCUUUUUUCAUAAACUUGCACCCACAUGGAGGUAAGCGAAACUGGCUUUUGCCUUUCGUUCGUUCAUCAAAUUUUAAUAUCACUUAUUACGUCGCUUAAUUGAAAUCUCAUGUAUUUAUUUAAAAAAUAAAAAUAAAAAAUUAAGAAGUUGAUACAAAUAAAUGAGAAGAUAAAAAUUAGUUGCAUUAAUAAGAUAUUUUAUUUUCAAGUGAGUUUUUAAUCAAAGAUUCUCAAUUUUAAAAAUUAAAAAAUAAAUUAUUAUAUAUUAAAAUUUAUUGAUAACAUAACAUCUUCAAAAUGUUCUAAUAUUUUUUAUAACAGAACAUGAAACUAAAUAAUUUGGUGAUCGUCAAAUAAUUUUUAUUAAUUUAAAAAAAAUAAUUAAUACACUCUUAAAAUAUUAUAAUAAUUUUUAUAACAAUACAUCCAUAAAGUAUUCAAAUGAUAAUAUUAUUAAUAUUUAUUGAUAAUGGCACCUCAAAGUUCAACUCUAAUUGCUUCUGAGCUACGCAAUUAAGUAAAGUAAAUACCAAGAAAGUCACAUCAACGCGCUUUGUGACACAACAACAUGACGUUUAAAGAGCCUCGCGGCAGAUGCAAAUAUCGAUUGACUGAAAAGAAAGCUCAAAUUGACAAUUCGUUUAGCCCAACAGUUUAAAAUACUGAGUGAGAUCUUGGCAUAAAACAGUGAAAGCUAAAGCAUAAAGAAAAGAAUGUUUAAGGAAAAGAGAAAAAAAAAAAAGAGAAUGAAGAAGAUGCUUUAUCUCUCUUUUUGCGUCAUUUAGAACGCAUGCCAACCAUGCACGUCCACGUCAUUUUAAUCCACGAAGAGAUAGAUAGAUCACUAACAGACAGAGUCAAUAUAUAUUCUUCAUGUCAAUUAUGGCGAGAGCUUUUCCUUUUUCUUUGGGACACAUGGUCUGUGAGGUAUGCUCGCGGAUAAAAUUCAAAUUAAUUUCUUUGACCUAUAUCUAAAAUAUUUAGGAUUUAAAUCGGUUAAAUAAAUCAAUUUUAAAAAUCACUCAAAUUAAUCCUCUUAAAAAUAAGAGAGCCAUGUUUACUUUAGGAGACCACUGAUAUUAAAUUACUAAAAUGAUAACAUCAAAAUAAAAUUGGUAUUAUUGUUCGUGCCGUCACAAUACCAUUGUAGUACACAAAAUGACGACAUUGUUCAUACUAAAAUACUUUUCUUUUCUUGGUAGUUAAAUAUUAUUUUUCUUUUUUAUUACACGUGAAAGUAUUUUUAUUAUUAGCAAUAAACAUGCACAAUAAGAAGUGAACAGAAAUUAACAAUAUUUUAAAUUUAAAUAAUUAUCGUAGACUCUCGUAGACUUAGCUAAACUUUUACUGCAUGCGCGCGCACACACACAACAUAAAAAUGACACCGCGAAUUAAAAAAACUGUAAAUUUUGCGAGGGCUCGAUUUUAAAUUUGCACAGAAAUCAGACAAAUUUCAGAUCAGUCCCUUAUGUUUCUCUGAAAUUUAUUCCAUCCCCCCCCGACUAUCGAGUACAAGGCGCCAUCAUAUCCUCUGUAGCAUUUCUAGAAUCUUGGAAGUGGUCCCGCGCAUUUAGUCCAUCGAUCCUUGUCACCUGAUGGGAGUAAAACUCCUCGGUCAAAAGGAUUUGGUAUUCUCGCGGGCCCCACAAAGGAAAUUAAAAAACUAAAAAGCCAAAAAUAGGCUGCGCAUAGAAUACCAUGAAGCGGAAGUCCCUUCCUUCGGAAGUUGUUUGCAAGAGAAGACUUGGAAAUUAUCUACAACGUGCUAUCCCACCGUGUCUCCCGUAGACGCCAGCUUCGAUUGAUCCAUCCCAACUUUGUCUUUAUCAAAUUAUAAACGUCCCGAAGAAGCCCUCUUCGCUCGACACGUGCACGUGCAUCAAAGGUUUCGUGUUAGCUUUGCGUUAUUUGCGAUUUUAAAGAAAGUGCCGUUGUACGGUUCUGCUGUUCCUUUAUCGCUUACGUGUAAAAGGCCUUGCUGACUCCUCGCAGACAGCCCCACUGAACUCUUUCAAUUUCUUAAAAAAAUAUAAAGUAAUGGAUACCGACUUGGCAAAACGGAUGCGCACAUGUGCUUGAGAAAUCAGAUUCCCAACCCCCCCCCCCCCCCAACAGUAAAAGCGUGACCAAAUACUAUCGAUUUUUAAUAAUUUUUUAUUAAAAAAUAUAUAAUUUUCUUUACGUUGUGUGAAUGGGGUCCACAGGCGGACAGCCAAACUAGAUGCCUUGGGAAUCGUCAACCCUUCGGGCUGGAAAACGCCCCAAUUUUAAGAAGGAGCGCCGCCUAAAAGCUAUGAUUAACUUGUCGUCAUACGCGCCCAGGGAAAGCGUGUGUGGGAGCAAAUAUUCAAACGCCGGGACUAUUGGACACGUGUGAUAGUUUAAAGAGGCCGUAGCUCUGAGCUUUGCAGGAAUAAAAGGCUGAUGGUUCAGCACGCGCUCAUGGAAAAUUUUCACUCGUUCCAAAUUCCAAUCACCUUCUGUUCUUCCACAGCGACUAUGUCCAUUGACCCCCAGACACCUGAUGAUUAUUUUGGCGGUCUUUUUUCAUUUCACAAAUUUUACCCUUUGCCAUCUUCACCUGGUGGGUGAAAUUUGAUUUUUGGGUACAAUGCAAAGUGGAUUUAAUCAUAAACUUCUUGAAUUAGAAUUAGAAAAAAUAUUCACCGCCUAUUCAUUUUUUUUUUAAAUAUACAAUUUUUUUUUUUGAAUCCACCUAAAAUUAUAUUUUGUUUUACUUUUUCACUUCUGUUUGAAGUUCGUUAAGAAAACUAACUGAAACUUAAAAAAUGACCAUUUUACCCCCAAAACGAAAAUUAUAAUUUCACCCUAAAAAAUACCAAAAAUAAUAAGAUUUAAUGAUGAAUAUCAUUAUUGGUACGUUAAUGAAGUAUAAAAAAAUCUUAACUACUAGAGAUUAUAACUCAAUGAAUAAUAAAAUUCCACUUAUUUUAAAUUCAAUUGAUGGUUUGCGAGAUUGAGCUAUUUUUAAUACUACUGUUAUAAUUUAGUAUUCUAAUUACAGACAUAUUUAAAAAAAAAAACCUUGCAUUUAAAAGUUGUGGAAUUAAUUUCUUUAUUGACCGAUGAGGAAAAUAAUUAGAUUUAAUUUGAUUAUUUUUGGUAAUUUUUAGGGUGAAAUUAUAAUUUUCGUUUUGGGGGGUAAAAUGAUCAUUUUUUUAAGUUACCGUUAGUUUUCUUAACAAAUUUCAAACGAAAGUGGAAAAGUGAAACAAAAUAUAACUUUAGAUGGAUUCUAAUAAAAAAAAAGAAUUGUGUAUUUUUGAAAAGUUAAAAAAAAUGGGUGAACGAUAAAUAUUUUUCCUUAGAAAUAUUAUCUGGAGGGUAAUCAUAAGUUUGGUCCUUUUACAGAAUGUAGAUUUAUGGUGGUGUUUUUGUUUGUGAUGGUUAAAAGAAUAUAGGCACGCAUUAGACAAUAGUAUAAAGUUAAGAGUAUUGGACUAUUCUUUUUAAAAUUAAACUAGUCUUUUGUUUGGUGCCGCAAAGAUAAGUGAGGAUUAUGUACCCUAAGACCACACCAUUUAAUCUUGGACACAUACUUUUAUAAAGUACAAUGAAAAUUUUUAUCCCAUGGGGACCAUAGGGAUAAUGCGGGAUAAUUUUUUUCAUGCUUAAAAAUAAUUGUAGAAUAAUUACAAGAUGAAAUAUCUAUAACUAUUAUUACAUUAUAUUAUCACAUUAAUUAAAUAUUUAUUUACUUUAAUUUUCAUUUUACUUAACUAAUAAUAAAAAUAUUAGAAUUUAUAUUUUGUGUGUUUGUGUGUGUAUAUGUAUGUAUAUUGUGUGUAUACGUAUCUAAACAUAUACAAAUGAUCAAUUGCACACAUUAUUGUACGCGAUGAGCCAUGUGUCAUCUAAUCAUGGUUGUGUGGCACAUCUAAUUAGGUGUGUAUAAUAAUAAUAAUAAACAACUUAAAUUAAUAAUUAGGUUUUUUAAUUUAAUAAUUUGAAUAUUCAUAUUAUUAAAUCUAUAUUUAUAAAUUUACUCUAAUAAAUAAAUACUUUUAAAUGUUUAAUAAUCAAUAAAUCAAUAUUAAUAUACUUCAUUUCUUAUAAAUGAUUUUAAUAAAAUCCUACAGUAGACCAAACAUGAGAUAAUACUAAAUAUAAAUCAAACCCAAUCUUAUUCUAUCCUGCUAAACCCGUCUUAUAAAAAGAAGUUAUUUAAGUUCUAAUGGCAGCGGGAGCUGGAAACCUGAAAGGCCGGAAGCCCAGCUGAAGCUCUUACCUCAAUUUCCAACUGAAAAUUAAUAAUUAAUAAUUAAUAAUUAAUGAUGAACGCUCAUAAACAUAAAAAUGAACGAUCUUUCCUUUGCCCUCCAACGGGAGCAACUGAGCAAGUAGUAAGUGGAACCUCGCCACUUUCCUUGCAAAACGGGAGCAAGUAGCAAGUGUGUAGCAGUUACGGCAACAAAAGCGCGUGCUACAUUUACACGUCAUUAGUAUAAAAAGCUAGGGGUAAAUUCGUCAGAGAACCAAACAGUCGCCAUAUUGCCGCGAAGCAAUAAAAUAAAAAGAAUUUCCAUUGCACGCCUUGCAUUUAAUUCGAUCACUCUCUCUCUCUAUGUGUUAAAUCUUGGUCCUUAUUAUUUAUACACACGCCCCCUCUUCCUCCUUCCUUCUCUCCGUUUCUUCUUAAGUCUGUCGCUCUCUCGCUUUAUUUGUGUGACCAUCACUUCACUUCGGUUCCUCAAAAUUUUCUCUCUCAUUUCACCUUUCUGCUUUCGACAAUGUCUCGACGUGGUGGCGGUGGUCGUAGACCGGAUUCUCGCCGUGACCAGCCGACUCAGCCACCGGCGCCGUCAUUCCAGCGCGGUGGCGGCGGAGGCGCUGGACCACGGGGCCGAGGUCGUCAAGGUCAACGUGGGGGUGCUGGUCGUGGAUCGCAUUCCGGCUCCGGUGCAGCCCCGUCCACAUCGCACGCGGCUUCGACUUCGACGGCGCCGGCUCCUUCAACUCCGUCUGUUUCUGCUUCUGCUCCUUCGACUCCGUCUGUUUCUGCUUCUGCUCCUUCGACUCCGUCUGUUUCUGCUUCUGCUCCUUCUUCGUCUUCAGUCUCUACUCUUGUCGAAGAAACGGAGCAGAAACUGACAUUGGCGGCACCAGCGGCGGCUACUCUUCCGCCUUCGUCGUCGCAGGCGAUGAGAUUUCCGGUGAGGCCGGGAUUUGGAACUGUUGGCAAAAAAUGUGUUGUCAGAGCAAAUCACUUUAUGGUGCAACUUGCCGAGAGAGACAUUCAUCACUACGAUGUAAGUCUACUUUUAAUUGUGUUAUUUUUGAAGACGUUUUGCUGUUUUUAUUUUUUAUUUUUCGUUUUUCUCGUCAAUUUUGAUUUUAUUUAAGAUUCACCAUUCGUGAGCGUCGAAUUCGAAGGUGUCGGGGUUUUGUUGAUAUUUUAAAAAUAUGUUUAUUCUUUUGCUUAUUUAUUUAUUUAUUUUUAAGGUUUCAAUUACUCCAGAGGUGACGUCGAAAAAAAUCAACAGACAAAUUAUUUCUCAGCUGAUUAAUUUAUAUCGGCUGACUAACUUGGGUGGACGAAUACCUGCCUAUGAUGGUGUGAAGAGCAUUUACACGGCAGGGCCGCUGCCUUUUGAAUCAAAGGAAUUCAUUAUCAAGUUACCUGAUAGCGAUCCUCGUCCCAGCUCAUCUACCAGGCCG